ACAGAGGGUGCGAGCGUUAAUCGGAAUUACUGGGCGUAAAGGGCGCGUAGGCGGAUAAUUAAGUUAGAUGUGAAAUCCCUGGGCUUAACCUGGGAAUGGCAUUUAAAACUGAUAAUCUAGAGUAGAGUAGAGGGAAGUGGAAUUUCCGGUGUAGCGGUGAAAUGCGUAGAGAUCGGAAAGAACACCAGUGGCGAAGGCGGCUUCCUGGACUCAUACUGACGCUGAGGCGCGAAAGCGUGGGGAGCAAACAGGAUUAGAUACCCUGGUAGUCCAUGCUGUAAACGAUGAAAACUAGAUGUUGUUAGGUUAAACCUAUCAGUAUCGAAGCUAACGCGAUAAGUUUUCCGCCUGGGGAGUACGGCCGCAAGGUUA
rnacentral:rRNA from 1 species